UACGGAGGGUGCGAGCGUUGUCCGGAAUCAUUGGGCGUAAAGGGUGCGUAGGCGGCGCGGUAAGUCGGGUGUGAAAUCUCGGAGCUUAACUCCGAAACUGCAUUCGAUACUGCCGUGCUUGAGGACUGGAGAGGAGACUGGAAUUUACGGUGUAGCGGUGAAAUGCGUAGAUAUCGUAAGGAAGACCAGUGGCGAAGGCGGGUCUCUGGACAGUUCCUGACGCUGGGGCACGAAGGUCAGGGGAGCAAACGGG
rnacentral:rRNA from 1 species